UCAAGUUGAGAGUUUGAUCCUGGCUCAGAACGAACGCUGGCGGCAUGCCUAACACAUGCAAGUCGAACGAGAAGCUAACUUCGGUUAGUGGAGAGUGGCGCACGGGUGAGUAAUACAUGGAAAUCUACCUUGCACUGGGGGAUAACAGUUAGAAAUGACUGCUAAUACCGCAUACGCCAUAUUGGGAAACCUACGGGGGUGUAAGAUGAGUCCAUGCCUGAUUAGCUAGUUGGUAGGGUAAAGGCCUACCAAGGCGACGAUCAGUAGCGGGUUUGAGAGGAUGAUCCGCCACACUGGUACUGAGACACGGACCAGACUCCUACGGGAGGCAGCAGUGGGGAAUAUUGCGCAAUGGGCGAAAGCCUGACGCAGCAAUGCCGCGUGAAUGAUGAAGGUUCUAGGAUUGUAAAGUUCUUUUAGCAGGGAAGAUAGUGACGGUACCUGCAGAAAAAGUCCCGGCUAACUCCGUGCCAGCAGCCGCGGUAAUACGGAGGGGGCGAGCGUUGUUCGGAUUUACUGGGCGUAAAGGGUCCGUAGGUGGUUUGGAAAGUUAGAUGUGAAAGCCCGGAGCUCAACUCCGGAAUUGCAUUUAAAACUCCCAAACUAGAAUCAUAGAGAGGAUAGUGGAAUUUCCAGUGUAGAGGUGAAAUUCGUAGAUAUUGGAAGGAACACCAGAGGCGAAGGCGACUAUCUGGCUAUGUAUUGACACUGAGGGACGAAAGCGUGGGGAGCAAACAGGAUUAGAUACCCUGGUAGUCCACGCCGUAAACGAUGAGUGCUAGCUGACGGGACCAACGGUCUCGGUGGCGCAGUUAACGCAUUAAGCACUCCGCCUGGGGAGUACGGUCGCAAGAUUAAAACUCAAAGGAAUUGACGGGGGCCCGCACAAGCGGUGGAGCAU
rnacentral:rRNA from 1 species